rnacentral:rRNA from 1 species
AGUGGCGGACGAGUGAGUAACGCGUGGGUAACCUGCCUUAUACAGGGGGAUAACAACCAGAAAUGGUUGCUAAUACCGCAUAAGCGCACAGGACCGCAUGGUCCGGUGUGAAAAACUCCGGUGGUAUAAGAUGGACCCGCGUUGGAUUAGCUAGUUGGCAGGGUAACGGCCUACCAAGGCGACGAUCCAUAGCCGGCCUGAGAGGGUGAACGGCCACAUUGGGACUGAGACACGGCCCAGACUCCUACGGGAGGCAGCAUG